UCUUAUAAAUUAAGACUAGAAUGAAUGGAUUAAUGAAGUAUUACUUUCUUAGAUUAAGUUUUAAAAAUAAUUUUUUAAGUGAAGAAACUUAAAUAAUAAUGAAAGACGAGAAGACCCUAUUAAGCUUAUAUAGAAUUAUUUUGUUGGGGAAACAAAAGAAUAAAAUUUCUUUUGGUUUUUAUUUUGAUAAAAGAUGAUUUAUUAUUAAUGAUAAUAGAAAAAGUUACUAUAGGGAUAACAGCAUAAUUUUUUUUAAAAGUUCAUAUUUACAAAAAAGAUUAUGACCUCGAUGUUGGAUUAAAAUAAUUAUAUUGGUGAAGUUAUUGUAUAAAUUAGUCUGUUCGACUAUUAAAGUUUUA
rnacentral:rRNA from 1 species